CCGUGGCCGGAGCGAUAGCGGGGCGGGGAGAGGCGGGGCCUGGGCCGGAGCGAGGAGGGACGGACCCAAGGUGAUAACAGCAGAUCAAAGGCAUCGAGACCAGAAUGUACUUUCGAAGAGCCAGCUGAGACUGUGUGGAAAUAAUGCUUAGCAUUUAUGUCGCACUUUAGACUCUCAAAGGAUUCUACAAUUAUUAAUUAAUUAUCCCACACAAUAGCUCUAGGAGGAAGGACUACAAGCAGUUUGAAAAUAGAGACUAAUCCUUGUCGCUCGAGUUAUUGCAGGAAACUGCGCUGAGUGCUUAGUGCUUUACAAUGCUGCUUUUACUUAAGUCUCACAAUGACUUUUGAGGUCACUCACCCUGCCACGUGGGAGAUUCUCCUCUUGUGGGGAUAACAGCCUGCCUCCUCAAUGAACUAUAACAACAGCUCUAAAUGCAUCUCCUGUAAUAUACCUCUGUGAUUUGCAAAAGUGGGAAUAAAUCAAAGCCAGGAAGAGAUGCCACGUUAAGCCAGAAGCUAAAUGUUACAUCAUGUAGCGCGAGGCUAAGGGAAGAGAGAACCUGCUUUUUCCUGGCAGCACAGUAUCUUUGUGCUUGUUACCUCCGCCACAGCCCCAUUAAAACAAUCAUUUGGAAUCUGCGGGAAAUUGUCACCUCCUUCUUUCCUGCCAUGGCAGCUGGUACUGGGGGUUGCAGACAAAGCUCAUUCCCUUCAAGGUUCUUAGCACACAUGCGAAAAGGAAAAUGAAGCUUAAUUUGUUAAAAAAAGAAAAAAAAAAGUGUCAGCUUACCCUCAG
ensembl:lncRNA